rnacentral:rRNA from 1 species
GACGAACGCUGGCGGCGUGCUUAACACAUGCAAGUCGAACGGAACUCUUUGGAUCAAGGCUUCGGCCAAGUGAAUUUGAGUUUAGUGGCGGACGGGUGAGUAACGCGUGAGGAACCUGCCUUUCAGAGGGGGACAACAGUUGGAAACGACUGCUAAUACCGCAUAACGCGUAGAGGUCGCAUGGCCUUUACGCCAAAGAUUUAUCGCUGAAAGGUGGCCUCGCGUCUGAUUAGCUAGUUGGUGAGGUAACGGCCCACCAAGGCGACGAUCAGUAGCCGGACUGAGAGGUUGACCGGCCACAUUGGGACUGAGACACGGGUCCAAACUCCUACGGGAGGCAGCAGUGAGGAAUAUUGGUCAAUGGGCGAAAGCCUGAACCAGCCAAGUCGCGUGAAGGAUGAAGGUUCUAUGGAUUGUAAACUUCUUUUGUCUGNGGGUAAAAAAGCGGACGUGUCCGUUCUUGCAAGUAUCAGACGAAUAAGCAUCGGCUAACUCCGUGCCAGCAGCCG